GUAGAAUAGACAGGUUCAGUUGUCGAGUUGGAGUUUCGUCCAGCGCUUCACCGGAAUUUCGAGCUUCCUCCUCAACUCCGACCACCACCACCACCACCCAGCCGUGAGGUGAGUCGCAUAACUUCAUAAACAGUCAACCUGCAUAUUAUUCAGAUGCCUUUUACAUUUUAGAAAUACACUGAGCACCUUGCCUUAAGAGGGUUAAAUUUUCACUUAUUUUGGCUUUAUAAUUUGCUUAACUAACAAUUUGGGAAUUUCAGAUCGCCUUUGUAGAUCUUUUGACCCUUAAUGGUGCAAGAUGGUAAACUUAUGGGAGCAAGAAGCAUGGCAUUCUUCUCAUUUUCCUGAUGAAUACUGAUGUAUUUGAGUGAUGCAUGGAUUACCUUCUCAGCUGAUGCGAGCUACACGUUUUGCUGCUUGUACACAUAUUCAAUACAUGCUGCUAGCACCUUAAUGAAGGUUGUCUUUUCUUCACAAGCAUUCCUAGUGCUUAGGUGUACUUUGGGGUCACAAAGCUGGUGUGAAGUUAACCAUAGUGAGUUUUUGUCCCUGAUCAUCAACAUGGCAUGAUUGUUUUAUGUCAGCCAUUCUUCUGUUUUACUUAUGGUUAGCUUACGCCCAUGUAAUCAUACAUCUUGUUCAGCAUUAGGUUAUCAUUUGUCUCUAGUAAUAUUAUUGCCUAUUCAUGAUUUUGUUGAGCAAGAACUGUUUUUCAUAAAAGGAGAGAGACAUACAUAACACUCUUUUCGGUAUUUUUACAUUAGUGUUCCAGAUGGAAAACUAUUUCUUAUUAAGAGACCGUUCCUCUUGUAUUUAUACCAAUACACUAGACAAGCAAAAAAGCACUAUAUAUUCCCUGUGCGACUACAUUUUGGGUUAACAUUGUUCUUGCACUCAAGCAGAAAAUUAAACAAUUCAUGGGAACUGAGUCAUAGAAACAUAUAAUUCUACAUAAUUUGAUGGCUAGGAGUUUAUGUCUAAUUAGCUUGUUGAUUGUUUCGCUUGGCUAUAUCCCCUGCACAGCUCUCUCGUGAAAGAAUGGUAGUUCAGUGGAAAAUGACAUUCAAGCGUGCAAACCUCCUCAUCUGUUCACCUCGUGCAAGUCAGAGGCCGAAGCUUUUGGCUAUCCAUGUGAAGAACACAAGGCCUACUGGGAUUGGUCAUGGGACGAAAUAGCUGCUUAUGAUCUUCCUGCCGUGCUUCAGUUUGUUUAUGAUCACAUAGGAGGUCAAAAACUCCAUUAUAUCAGUCACUCCCUCGUGAGAUCAUAUGUAUCCAUAUUGAAGAUUUCGAUGGAUUUACACUUGGGAGAUUACACUUGAUUAUUCUUGCUUCCUUCUUUGAGUGCAAGUUACUACACCUAUCAUGUGACACCCACGACCACUCGAACACCGGUCACCAUCGGCGUCCUGAUGAACUUAUUUCUCUUUCUCCAUGCACAAGUAAGUUUUUUCUGUUCGUUCAAUUAUCUGUAGUCUCUGCUCAGUCUGUAGCCUAGCAUAGUUGAUAGCUAGAAAAAAAUUGUAUUAACCUAGCAGGGUGCUAGGGAGAUCCCAUGAUUACGUUGAUUGAGGGUCUCUCCUGUUUCUCCUCACCUGGCAUUGGAUGAAGCCAACGAUGUCAAUUCCAUCCGUGGAGAUGAAAACUGGUCUUCAAAAUAAUAUAAGCUUGCCAUUCUUGGAGUUGACCAUGUUGGUGUAGCAGGGGCACUGUCUAAGGGUGUCCUGGCCGGUGCCUGAGGGGACACAGUUGCACUUACCACAGUAGAUGUUGCACAUCUUGUUCUUCCAGUUCCAGCAGCACCAUGCCUCGCCUAUCGACAUGCAGUCUAUUGUAUAUGUUCAGAUAUCAGAGAUGUGUAUCACCAAUGUUCAGAUGAGAUGAGUCCAGAACAGAGGCAUGCACAUACAUACAUUUCUUUGUUUCCCCAAGCAGAGACCCCUUGCUGCCACCCAUCACCUGCAUACAUAAGAUUAUCAUAAUAUAUUUGCAAUGCGUUGCAGCACUGAGAUAGUGAUGGCACGCCUAUAUGUAUAUAGUUAUUCGAAGUCUAAAAUUGGUGUGGAAUUGAUUAGUUCAUGUUGCAUGUUAUGAUUGGAUUAACUCUUUUGUUGAUUCAGAAGAGAAACUUAACACAGGUAGAAAUAUCUAUCGAUGCCAUUUCUUAGACGCUUUACAAAUGACACGAAUCAAGAGAAAAAUAACAGAGAUGGAGCAUUAGAUUCAUGGAAGCAUGGACAUGCAUGCUACAGAGGAGGAAUCGUCGGUGGCUUGCUGCGCGUCGGCGACCAUGAUGACAACGAGGGGAAGGAGGAUGACGUCGAGGAGAGGCUUGGAGAAGGCCAUCGGUAAUGAUGGUCGCGAGUUAGUUACAGCUUGAAUUUAUUAAUGUGAAGGCGCUCUAGGGAAAAACGCUGAAGUUUAAGAGCUAUAGUGGGAAUACAUUAGGUUCAGAUAAGAUGAGCAUUAGAAGAGGUUGGUGAGCGGAAUGUCUAGAUGAUGGAAACACAAAUCAUGAGGGGAAUAUAUUAUGUGGCGUGGCUAUAAUGCUAUAUAGGAGAUCAUAAGUCAAUAGUGGAAAGUGACUGCAUGGAGGGCAGUGUUGAUUAUGCUUACUAAAUUUUCCGUUCCUUUGAGUUGUAAAUACUGGAUAAUACAUUUGCUGGGUAGUUGGGACGAGUGG